CUGGGUUAGAAUCGCUCUCCCAGUGACUGCAACCCACAAACCCAAACACUUUCCCCCUCCCCAACGUGAGAUCUCCUUCCCGUACCAAGUGCUGCAGGCCAGCAGAGUCGCUGCUUUUGGGAGCCUUCAGUUCUGGUGGCCUCUACCCAGACGUGCUGCAAGGAUGAGUCUGAGUGAGUGCCAGAGCUCUGCCCUCAGCCUCUGCACAGCUUCUUCCACCUAGAUACUACAAGACCACCUGAACAUAAGGGUCUCCAAUUUCCAGCACCUCUGAAUCCAGCCUGUCCCACGCUUCCCUCAACUGAUCCUUGAAAUGAGGGUCCCUAGGCCAGGACAAGAGAUGCCAGCACCUUGGAGCUCUGGGAAAGGAUGCCAAUGUGGGAUGUAGGGGACAGAGGAUGAGCACGCCCCAACACUACACUGCUGGAAAAAAGUGGGAUUUAGCAGGA